rnacentral:rRNA from 1 species
AUGCCCCAUAGUAUUAUAGAAUGGCAUCAUUUUAUAAUUAAAGUCACAACGGUAAAAGAUGAGCAUGCGUCCCAUUAGUUAGUUGGUAAGGUAACGGCUUACCAAGACUAUGAUGGGUAGGGGUCCUGAGAGGGAGAUCCCCCACACUGGUACUGAGACACGGACCAGACUCCUACGGGAGGCAGCAGUGAGGAAUAUUGGACAAUGGGCGCAAGCCUGAUCCAGCCAUGCCGCGUGCAGGAAGACGCAUCUAUGGUGUGUAAAC